UCGCAAUUCCACGUUUUGGCCCUUCCCCAUGUCCUUUUUCUAUGAGUCUCGUUUUAAAAUAUUUGCUAAUUUUAGCUUCAUGUCCGUCCUUGACACAACUAUCGGACGGUUAUAAAUCGAGUAGAAGUCGAACACAUGGUUCUUCGGUUCAAUUUCGCUGCUCCUAUGGUCAUAAACUGGUUGGUUCAGCUAGAGUGGUGUGCAAUGAUGGUAGAUGGUCAAACCAAAUGCCUAAAUGCCUAGGUACGUUACCAGUUUUCACGAGAAUAAGCAUAAGGCCGAAAUCAAACAAAGGCUAGAGUUCCGUGAGAGUUCUCUCAACUCGUUAAUGUACGCUUAUUCACCCUAUUCAUUUGGUUGACAUUCCUUUAAUUUUUUGUUUAAUUUCCGCCAUAGCAAUUCUUUAAUUUGCAAUUUCGUUUAAAAAUUGACCAACUAUUUUGACAAAAUAUUUUACAUUUUGACCAACUUUUUAAACUUAAAAAUUAUCGGGGGGGGGGGGGUGUCACACCGACACACCUCCUCGGGUAUCGACGACGUCCCUGCCUUUAUUUUGACUAGAAUUGCAACAUGUGUAUCUGAUCACUGUAGAUUUCGGAUUUGUUCAUGCAGAUAUAUAGAGGAUAUUACUCGGCGGCGCAUUUUUAUGUUCGAGUGGUGAAAACAAUAUUUUACGAACGAGCGCGGCGAGUGAGUAAAAGAAUGUUUUUAAUGCGAGAAGUUAAAAGUCAUAUCUUCAAGCCACCGUGUAAUGUUCUGUUUAUUAUAUAGUCCCAAGCGAAAAAUUGUGAAAUUUCACGCUCAAAAGCAAAUUGGAAAAAGGCACGUGAUCGAUAUCUUCACUAUGGAAAAUAUCUCACUGUGUAUUUUUCAGUAUCUCACUCUCUACUAUAUAAUAAAUUUUGAUAACAUUCUUUUUAAUUCUAUAGCCAUAUGCAAUAGAAUUCGAAGCAUUAGCAAUGGAUGGGUUUACGGAAGGGGUAAUUUAGAAGGAGAUAAGCUGAGUUUCCGUUGCAGAACUGAUUAUAUUUUGGAUGGCGAGCAGUUUAUCAAAUGCACUGGGAAUAGGCGAUGGAAUGCAACGAAACCAACGUGUAGAG
rnacentral:lncRNA from 1 species